rfam:Lachnoanaerobaculum sp. ICM7 ctg120007550912, whole genome shotgun sequence.
AAGGGAAAAUUAGCGCCAGGGCUUCGGGGAUUCCCCUAGCUGACGAGGUAAACAGUUAUCGAAAGAUUCGGCGGAUGCUGUUUCGGAGUAGUGCAUCGUAAAAGAAAGAAAAAAAGCGAAAUCAAGAUCGUAACAAAAGCUUUCUUCGCACAAUAA